AAGCUCGUAGUUGAAUUUCGGGAUUGACACAUCGGUCGUGCCUUAAGGGGUACGAACUGGUGUAGUCAAUUUCUCACCUUCUGGAGAACCGCGAUGCCCUUAAUUGGGUGUCACGGGGAACCAGGACCUUUACUUUGAAAAAAUUAGAGUGUUUAAAGCAGGCAUUUUGCUUGAAUACAUUAGCAUGGAAUAAUAAAAUAGGACGGCAUGAUUCUAUUUUGUUGGUUUCUAGGAUCACCGUAAUGAUUAAUAGGGAUAGUUGGGGGCAUUAGUAUUCAAUUGUCAGAGGUGAAAUUCUUGGAUUUAUUGAAGACUAACUACUGCGAAAGCAUUUGCCAAGGAUGUUUUCAUCAAUCAAGAACGGAAGUUAGGGGAUCGAAGACGAUCAGAUACCGUCGUAGCCUUAACCAUAAACUAUGCCGACUAGGAAUCAGACGAUGUUAAUUUUUUAAUGACUCGUUUGGCACCUUACGGGAAACCAAAGUGUUUGGGUUCCGGGGGGAGUAUGGUCGCAAGGCUGAGACUUAAAGGAAUUGACGGAAGGGCACCACCAGGGGUGGAGCCUGCGGCUUAAUUUGACUCAACACGGGAAAACUUACCAGGUCCAGACAUAGUAAGGAUUGACAGAUUGAGAGCUCUUUCUUGAUUCUAUGGGUG
rnacentral:rRNA from 1 species